UGGGGAAUAUUGGACAAUGGGCGAAAGCCUGAUCCAGCCAUGCCGCGUGUGUGAAGAAGGUCUUCGGAUUGUAAAGCACUUUAAGUUGGGAGGAAGGGCAGUAAGCGAAUACCUUGCUGUUUUGACGUUACCGACAGAAUAAGCACCGGCUAACUCUGUGCCAGCAGCCGCGGUAAUACAGAGGGUGCAAGCGUUAAUCGGAAUUACUGGGCGUAAAGCGCGCGUAGGUGGUUCGUUAAGUUGAAUGUGAAAGCCCCGGGCUCAACCUGGGAACUGCAUCCAAAACUGGCGAGCUGGAGUAGGGCAGAGGGUGGUGGAAUGUCCUGUGUAGCGGUGAAAUGCGUAGAUAUAGGAAGGAACACCAGUGGCGAAGGCGACCACCUGGGCUCAUACUGACACUGAGGUGCGAAAGCGUGGGGAGCAAACAGG
rnacentral:rRNA from 1 species